UUUUCUUCACAAAUCAAUUCACCAUUGUAAAAAAUUCAACCUCCCCCUCCUUUCUUCGCUCAUAUUUCUGCAAAUUUCAAUAUAUACAAACACAAAGAACUUGCACUUUUCUGUGUAAACAAUAAAUCUACUGAAACAAGCACGCUAUUAGAGCAAUAUCUGAAGAAUUUCUUGAUUAUAUACUAUUGUUAUUGUUGCUAUUAUGGUUUACAAAC
rnacentral:lncRNA from 1 species